rnacentral:rRNA from 1 species
UACAGAGGUCUCAACCGUUGUUCGGAUUUAUUGGGCGUAAAGCGCGCGUAGGCGGCCGCGCAAGUCGGAUGUGAAACCCGGGGCUCAACCCAGGAACUGCGUCCGAUACUGGAAGGCUUGAGUAUGGGAGAGGUAAGCGGAAUUCCUGGUGUAGCGGUGAAAUGCGUAGAUAUCGAGGAGGAACACCUGCGGUGUAGACGGCUUACUGGACCAUAACUGACGCUGAGGCACGAAAGCGUGGGUAGCAAACAGG